rnacentral:piRNA from 1 species
GAGGUUCCUUUUCCCUUAAUGUGUCCUAGGC